rnacentral:rRNA from 1 species
UACGGGGGGGGGCAAGCGUUGUUCGGAAUUACUGGGCGUAAAGGGCGCGUAGGCGGUCCGCUAAGUUGGAUGUGAAAACUCUGGGCUUAACCCAGAGCCUGCAUUCAAAACUGACGGGCUGGAGUUCUGGAGGGGAUAGCGGAAUUCCUGGUGUAGCGGUGAAAUGCGUAGAUAUCAGGAGGAACACCGGUGGCGAAGGCGGCUAUCUGGACAGAAACUGACGCUGAGGCGCGAAAAGCUAGGGGAGCAAACAGG